ensembl:ncRNA lncRNA:CR46118 long non-coding RNA:CR46118
AGCAAAAAUUCGGAAACUCAAAAGCCAGGCCAAAACUGGCCGUUCGUUGCCUUUCGCAGCUGUCAGAACCAUAACUCAGUGUCAAGUCGAGACUUUGCGGCUAUAUCUGGAUAUCUGAAUAUCUGAAUACCAGUAUCUGCGUGGCCACAAUGCCCCCUUUCGCCCCCUCCCUCCACCGCAUCGUUCCGCUUUCGAAAAGACAAAAAGCAAUUGUUCAAUCGGUUGAGGUUGAGCCGCAGGGAGACCGGCGAAAUAGAUUUGCAAACAAUUUGCAACAAUUCAAUCAAAAAAACUUUAAACGCAAAUACAGAACGGACAGACAUCAGCGGGUGGCCAGCAGUCUGGUGGGUGGUGGAAGGUAGAAGGUGGAUGGUGGAUGGUGGAUGGCGGAUGGCAGGCGGUCCGGCUUGACGGCCAUCAGAUAACUCACUCACCUGGUGGUCCGACGUCCGCCAUCCGACGUCCAAUUCCCGGGAACCCCUUGAGCCCGGCUUCUUUGCGCCCUGUGUCGCUGUCAGUUGGCUUCGCCGUUUGUUUGCCAAGCGUUUGAAUGGGUUAGCGAACAAAGCGCCAAAGAAAUUCAAGGUGAGCGCAGGCUUUUACACCUG